rnacentral:rRNA from 1 species
CCUGAUGCAGCGACGCCGCGUGAGGGAUGACGGCCUUCGGGUUGUAAACCUCUUUCAGCAGGGAAGAAGCGCAAGUGACGGUACCUGCAGAAGAAGCACCGGCUAACUACGUGCCAGCAGCCGCGGUAAUACGUAGGGUGCGAGCGUUGUCCGGAAUUAUUGGGCGUAAAGAGCUUGUAGGCGGUUUGUCGCGUCUGCCGUGAAAAUCCGGGGCUCAACCCCGGACCUGCGGUGGGUACGGGCAGACUAGAGUGUGGUAGGGGAGACUGGAAUUCCUGGUGUAGCGGUGAAAUGCGCAGAUAUCAGGAGGAACACCGAUGGCGAAGGCAGGUCUCUGGGCCACUACUGACGCUGAGAAGCGAAAGCAUGGGGAGCGAACAGGAUUAGAUACCCUGGUAGUCCAUGCCGUAAACGUUGGGAACUAGGUGUGGGUCUCAUUCCACGAGAUCCGUGCCGCAGCUAACGCAUUAAGUUCCCCGCCUGGGGAGUACGGCCGCAAGGCUA